AGCGAACGCUGGCGGCAGGCCUAACACAUGCAAGUCGAACGAACUCUUCGGAGUUAGUGGCGGACGGGUGAGCAACACGUGGGAACGUGCCUUUAGGUUCGGAAUAACUCAGGGAAACUUGAGCUAAUACCGAAUGUGCCCUUCGGGGGAAAGAUUUAUCGCCUUUAGAGCGGCCCGCGUCUGAUUAGCUAGUUGGUGAGGUAAUGGCUCACCAAGGCGACGAUCAGUAGCUGGUCUGAGAGGAUGACCAGCCACAUUGGGACUGAGACACGGCCCAAACUCCUACGGGAGGCAGCAGUGGGGAAUCUUGCGCAAUGGGCGAAAGCCUGACGCAGCCAUGCCGCGUGGAUGAUGAAGGUCUUAGGAUUGUAAAAUCCUUUCACCGGUGAAGAUAAUGACUGUAGCCGGAGAAGAAGCCCCGGCUAACUUCGUGCCAGCCGCCGCAGUAACAC
rnacentral:rRNA from 1 species